AGAGUUUGAACAUGGCUCANAACGUACGCUGGCGGCACGCCUAACACAUGCNAGUCGAACGAAGUAGCAAUACUUAGUGGCAGACGGGUGAGUAACAUGUGGGUAUCUACCCUUUGGCCUGGAAUAACACGAGGAAACUUGUGCUAAUACCGGAUAAGUCUUUACGGAGAAAGNUUUAUGCACCAUUGGAUGAGCCCGCACUUGAUUANUUUGUUGGUAGGGUAAUGGCCUACCAAGACUAUGAUCAAUAGCUGAUUUGANAGGAUGAUCANCCACNUUGGGACUGAGACACGGCCCAAACUCCUACGGGAGGCAGCAGUGGGGAAUCUUGCNCAAUGGAGGAAACUCUGAUGCAGCGAUGCCGCNUGANUGAAGAAGGNCUUUGGGUUGUAAAGNUCUUUCGUCGGGGAAGAAAAUGACUGUACCCGANUAANAAGGUCCGGCUAACUUCGUGCCANCAGCCGCGGUAAUACGAAGGGACCUANCGUANUUCGGAAUUACUGGGCUUAAAGAGUUCGUAGGUGGUUGAAANAGUUGGUGGUGAAAUCCCAGANCUUANCUCUGGAACUGCCAUCAAAACUUUUCAGCUNNANUAUGAUAGAGGAAAGCAGAAUUUCUAGUGUAGA
rnacentral:rRNA from 1 species